GGGGGCGAAACGGAUUCGACGGGGAUAUUGAAGCUUGAUGUUGCAUGCCGAGUUUCUGUCAGCUCGUAAAAAUGACGGAAAUAAAUAUAAUCGCAGACGAUUAUAACUACGCACUGGCAGCGUAAGCUGCUGUGCCGUCCCGCCGGCCCGAGCCUGUAAGGCCGGAUUCGGGGCGUCGCCUCUUCAGGCUGGCUGAUUGUUUUCGCCCGAGACACGAUCAGCGAGAUUUCCCGGGCUGGCGUCCGAACAUCCCUGUUCCGGGUGAGAAGCGGACGCGAGAACCAAUCCCGGAACUAAGCAUGUAGAGACACGAGGGGAGAAUUUUCGGACCCGGGUUCAACUCCCGGCGCCUCCACCA
rnacentral:tmRNA from 1 species